CACCGUCCGAGCGCACAGACCACCGCGCGCAGUCUCAAUUUGACGAAAUACGAUAAUUGCGAAAAUUCUUAACCUAAUAAAUAAUUCUCUCUUUCAAAAAACAGUGCAAUCACGUAAAAUCCAAUAGUCAGUGAAAAAUAAUUGAUUGAAGAUAAUUUAGCGUGUGGAUUUUGCUCUUGACCAUCAAAAACACUUCGAUUGGAUCUCUGAAACGGGAAUGGGAGUAUCAGAUACAUUGAAAUCAUCUGGAAGAACACGUGUUGCUCCAAAUUAUUUCUCGACCUAAUGUUCUAUGUCAUUGGAUUGGGACUCGGUGAUGCGACCGACGUCACUGUGAAGGGGUUAGAAAUAAUAAAGAGAUGUGAGAGAGUUUUUUUGGAGUCAUACACCUCGAUAUUGACAGUUGGAGCUGAUGCUUUGG